rnacentral:tRNA from 2 species
UCCGACUUAGCUCAGCUGGUUAGAGCAUCUGACUGUUAAUCAGAGGGUCCGCGGUUCAAGUCCGCGAGUCGGAG